rnacentral:rRNA from 1 species
UACAGAGGGUGCAAACGUUGUUCGGAUUUACUGGGCGUAAAGCGCGUGUAGGCGGCCUUGCAAGUUGGAUGUGAAAGCCCACGGCUCAACCGUGGAAGCGCAUCCAAAACUGCAUCGCUCGAGUCUCGGAGAGGAAGGUGGAAUGCUUGGUGUAGAGGUGAAAUUCGUAGAUAUCAAGCAGAACACCUGCGGCGAAGGCGGCCUUCUGGACGAUGACUGACGCUGAGACGCGAAAGCGUGGGGAGCAAACAGG